rnacentral:tRNA from 1 species
UGUUUAUAUAGCUUAACCAAAGCAUAGCACUGAAAAUGCUAAGACGAACCCUAAAAAGUUCUAUAAACACA